AGCUUUGCGCAGGGCAGUAUUGCAGCCAAUGAGGUUUCUCUGAGGCUCGAUUAUUGCUAAUUGAAAACUUUUCCCAAAGUAGAUUCCAAGUUAUUUCAUGAGAAGUCCAAUUAUCUCUGGGAACAAAGAUAAAGUAAUCAAUCAUUGAAGCCUUCUGGCCCUGCAGCCCUCUCAUGUGCUGAGG
ensembl:snRNA U4 U4 spliceosomal RNA